UCCCGAGAGGCUCUGCGCGGGAGGCUUGGAUCGUGGACUGGCCGGAGCGCAGGCUCGGCUGAGAGGGCGGACGCCUCAGUGUUGGGGUGCUAGGGCCGUUGGACACAGGCGGGCGUCAGUGCGAGGCGAUUCCUCAGGCCCCUCGGCGGGCGAGCAGCGGGCACAAGUGUGGAGUCCGCGCGGACGGUGGGGCGCAGCUGAGAUGGAGGACGUUGAGGCUUCCGGGCGCGCUGGGCCUGCUCUUGAGGAAUGCGUCCACAUGCUUUCCUUCCAGCAUGGGUGGGCCUCACUCAUGAGGCUUUUCACAACUCCCAGGAGCCAGCUGGACACCCCGGGCCCCUUAGGACGUCCUUCAUAGACCCGUUAUGACGUGUGUUAGUCCAAGUGCUUUUCAAAACAGCCUUGGAAGGAGCUCCAGCCGCAAUUUCAGACGGUGAGGUGACCUUGGGAAGUGCGAGGACAGACUUGAGGGAACUACAGACGUGCGGAGCCUGGGGGGGUUGGGUAGUGGAGCUGCACUGAGCCCCUCUCCCCACACACACACACUGGAGGAUCCAGAGGGAACUGUUGCGCAGUGUCGCGGGAAGUGUGUCUGCCCGGUGCAUCAGUGGAGUGUGGUGGAUGCGGGUACCCACAAGUGUACGCAGAGGGUCACUUUCCUACGUCACAGCCUUCAGGUGACGGAGCCAGCAGGAGAACUAUCUGGCCACUGGGCCAGUACAGAAGGCCUCUGAUGAGCAGUGCUUGCCCCAGAGUUAAUUAUUCACCUGUGUUGAGGUUCUGGAAGUGGCAUAUUCCACACCUAUGAAUAGUGCUCUGGCUCAAAUACUGGGUGACUUGGAAGACUUCCAGGUUUGAGAAGAACCCAGAAAACUGUGCCCUUGGGGCAGCUUCUAGUGUGGAGAAGGCAAGCGGAAUGCACAGCUCUGACAGCCCAGGGCCAACUCACAGGUCAACCAGCAGUCAUGUCUUCUUGGUGACCUCCUACAACAUGUUACACCAGUGGAGUCUAUGUGCGAGUUCAUCCUGCACUUUCAUUGCUUUAAAGUAUGCUUGCUUCUAAGGGGCAGUGUCAUGUAGAACUACAGUGACGAGUAAAACAUCUCCAGGUCCACAGAUAGUGGUGUCAGCAGAUGUACUGCAGACAGGGGAGCCGAAGCCACACUUGAAUUGUGUCUGUUCCUGGUGGAACCAAUCACUGCCUCCUCCGUGAUGGUGGGAACCAGCUCACCACAUGAAGGGCUCAGCAUUGGCCUCUGCUGUUGGCAGUUCAAGCAUUGAGAAGAAUGCCAGGAAGAAGCCAGGAGGCCUUGGUGAGAGGUCUGGUUGCUGCCACUUGAAGAAAGAAGCUGAAUGACACCCACAGGCAAGUCAUCUUGUCCACCUUCUGCACUUCCACAGUGGGUCUUAUGGGAGGCAGGUCUCCUUACUGCCUUGUAGACAUCCUUGGUACCACUUGGCAAUCUUUUCUCUGUCAAGUGUUAACCAGCUGGACCAUCAACUACUCAGGGAAAACUUAUGAAUCAGGAGCUCAGGUCAGUGCUCUUUCUAUACACAAUGGACCACGAUGCACCAUCCAAAGUUGGUUGAUAGGAAAUCUUCCACAGCCCCAAGCUGGAUGUGUGUGACAACUGUCUACUUUUGGUUGAGGCUAGCACUCUUGCAGAUCCAUCUGCACAACAAACCUGUGCUUCCUUCUGUUCUGCCAGCUGGUCACAGGGAAUGUACCCUGAAACCACAGAUGCAGCCUGAAGAGACAUGAGGUAGGAGGAAGAUUCACCACCACGAGUCUGACCACCUGCUGAGUCACUCAUGUAUGCCUCCAGGGUCUGGUCAGGCCAGCUCUGUGUGCACUGGUGAUGGACAAGCCUCCUGUGAUGAAAUCCUACCCACAGUGGGAUGGCAGCAGGAGGUAGAAGCUCUGGGGGGCAGAUGAGGCCGAGGUGGAGCCCUCAGGACAGGGUUAGUGCCUUUACAAGGGUCAUGAGAGCACUCGCUCCCCACUGUGCUUUCCAUCAUGUGACGACACGAGGAAUAGUCAGCUGUCUCCAACUCAGAAGGGGCCCUCACCAGAACCCACCCUGUCAGCACCCUGAUCUUGAACUUUAAGCCUCCAGAACUCUGAGACAAAGUUCCGUUGGUUAUAUACCACCCAGUUUAUGAUAUUUUGUCACAGCAACCUGAGCUGAGACCAUACUGUUUCUGGUUUUCAGUGGAAGGCUGCUGUUUACAUCUAGUUUUAUUGCUUGUACUUCUCUAGCUCUUUGGGGAUGCAAUUUUGAUGGGGUCCAGAGGUGAUGGCAUGUCCCAGGUGCAAUCAUGAAAGCUUUUACCCUGAGGUUCCCUUGUCAUUUUUCCUCAGUGGGCAGGGACAACUUCUCUGCCUUACCUUAGGGUCUUUGCUUAGAUUA